CGUCAGUGACUACAGUCACUGACAUUAGAUACCCGUGUAGUCCCAGCCGUAAACAAUGUGCGUUAGGUGUGUCGGUAACCACGCGUUACUGAUGCGCCGAAAGAGAAAAUCCGUGAAACGCACCACCUGGGAAGUACGGUCGCAAGGCUGAAACUUAAAGGAAUUGGCGGGGAGCACCACGAACAGGUCGGAGCCUGCGGUUUAAUUGGAUUCAACGCCGGACAUCUACACCGGAUAAGACAGCUGAAUGAUUGUCAAUCUGAAGGUUUUACAUGACUAGCUG
rnacentral:rRNA from 1 species